GGUCAAGAAGAAAAGGGCACAUGGUGGAUGCCUUGGCGCUAAGAGCCGAAGAAGGGCGUGGAAAGCUGCGAAAAGCCACGAGGAGCCGCAAGCAGGCGUUAAUCCGUGGAUACCCGAAUGGGGCAACCCGGCGGAGCAAAACUCCGUCACCCUAUGCUGAACACAUAGGCAUAGAGGAGGGCACCCGGGGAACUGAAACAUCUAAGUACCCGGAGGAA
rnacentral:rRNA from 1 species